CCCGGGCACAGGUACUGCCGCAGCCGGCGCACGGCAUCACCCAGGUCUGCGGGCCGGGGGUGGCUCCGAGGAAGGGCCGCGGGUGACAUGAGCUCGCAGCAGUUCCCCCGUUCGGGCGCGCCUCCCGCCUCCCUGGGACCAGCACCGCCGCCCAUCCCCACCAGCGGCUCCGCCGGGAUUAUCGCCCCCGCCGCCACAGUGAGUGAGGAAUCUAGUCGUGAGUCAGAAGUUACUCCCAGAGAGCACAUGGGCCCCAGUGGCUCCAUCCAGCCCCGCGAGGAGAAGCAGGAGCCCGUGGUGGUUCGGCCGUACCCACAGGUCCAGAUGCUGACACAGCACCACCCUGUCCAGUCUGGUGCCCCAGUGACAGUGACAGCACCACCAGCACAUUUGACUCCAGCUGUGCCACUUUCUUUUUCAGAUGGACUUAUGAAGCCUCCCUUGAAGCCCACCAUGCCCAGCCGGCCCAUUGCUCCUGCUCCACCCUCCACUCUCUCAGCUCCCACAAAGGUCCCUGGGCAAGUGACUGUGACCAUGGAAAGCAACAUACCACAGGCUCCAACAAUUCCUGUGGCAACUAUCAGUGGGCAGCAGGGACAUCCCAGUAACUUGCAUCAUAUCAUGGCCACCAACGUGCAGAUGUCCAUCAUCAGGAGUAGUGCUCCUGGGCCUCCACUGCACAUUGGAGCUUCUCAUCUGCCCCGAGGUGCAGCAGCUGCUGCAGUGAUGUCCAGUUCUAAGGUAACCACAGUCCUGAGGCCAGCCUCGCAGUUGCCCAACGCAGCCGCGGCCCAGCCAGCAGUUCAGCACAUCAUUCACCAGCCAAUCCAGUCUCGUCCUCCUGUGACAAGUUCAAGCACUAUUCCUCCUGCAGUGGUGGCAACUGUCUCAGCCACGAGAGCUCAGUCCCCUGUCAUAACCACAACAGCAGCACAUGCCACAGAGUCAACCCUCAGUCGCCCCACGCUGUCCAUCCAGCAGCACCCGCCUUCUGCCGCCAUCAGCAUCCAGCGGCCGGCGCAGGCGCGGGACACGGCCACGCGGAUCACGCUGCCCUCGCACCCAGCCAUAGGCACACAGAAACCACAGCUCCACACCAUGGCUCAGAAAACCAUUUUCAGUACUGGUACUCCAGUGGCAGCAGCAACUGUGGCACCUAUUUUGGCAACGAAUACCAUUGCUUCAGCAACCACAGCUGGUUCUGUUUCUCACACCCAAGCGCCUACAAGCACCAUUGUUACCAUGACAAUGCCCUCACAUUCUUCCCAUGCUACAGCUGUCACGACCUCAAACAUCCCAGUUGCUAAAGUGGUUCCCCAGCAAAUCACACACACUUCUCCCCGGAUCCAAUCUGAUUACACAGCAGAGAGGAGUAACCUCAUACCUCUGUCCAGCCACCGAGCAUCUCCAAACCCAGUAGCCAUGGAAACCAGAAAUGACAACAGGCAGUCGGUGCCUGUCCAGUUCCAGUAUUUCUUACCUACCUACCCCCCCUCUGCCUACCCUCUGACUGCCCACACCUACACCCCCAUCACCAGCUCCGUGUCCACCAUCCGCCAGUAUCCAGUUUCAGCCCAGGCACCCAACUCGGCCAUCACAGCUCAGACCGGUGUCGGAGUGGCCUCCACUGUGCACCUGAACCCCAUGCAGCUGAUGACAGUCGAUGCAUCUCACGCCCGGCACAUCCAGGGCAUCCAGCCCGCCCCCAUCAGUGCCCAGGGCAUCCAGCCCGCCCCCAUCAGUGCCCAGGGCAUCCAGCCAGCGCCCAUUGGAACCCAAGGACUGCACCCUGCUGCACCCAUGGGCACGCAGGGGCUGCAGCCAGCACCCAUCGGUGCCCAGCAGCCACCGGGUGACACCAAGACCUCAGCAGUAGUCUUGGCAGAUGGAGCCACCAUUGUAGCUAAUCCUAUUAGCAACACAUUCAACACUGCUUCUGCAGCAACUACAGUUGUGCAAACCCACAACCAGAGUGCCAGUGCCAGUGCUCCAGCCCAGGGCUCCUCCCCACGCCCGAGCAUCCUUCGCAAGAAGCCAGCCACGGAUGGGCUGGCAGUCCGGAAAAGUUUAAUUCCCCCGCAGCCACCUGAAGUGGCCAGCACACGUGUGGAGAGCACCAUGCGAAGCACGUCUGGAUCACCAAGGCCUGCUGGUGGCAAGCCAAAGCCUGAAAUCCACGUGUCCAUGGCCACCCCAGUGCCUGUGUCUAUGGAGGCGGUGUGUAACCAGGGUGGUGAGCAGCCCACUAUCACAGUGCCCCCAACCUCCCAGCAGCCCCCCUCUGCCAUUCCGACGAUCAUCGCGGCCGCCAGUCCCACCUCCCAGCCUGCAGCAGCACUGUCUGCCAUUCCAGGAGCUGUUCCAGCUGCUCCACCAACUUCCACCACCAUCGUGGCAGCACCUGCUCCUCCAUCCACCAUGAGUGGGGCCCUGUCAGCGGUGCUGGGCCCUGUAGUACCAGAGAUCAAAAUCAAAGAGGAAAUGGAGCCUAUGGACAUCAUGCGACCAGUAUCUGCAGUCCCUCCUUUGACUACAAGUACUGUGUCUCCAUCUUUGGCACUGCUGGCCAACAAUCUUUCCAUGCCUCCAAGCGAUUUGCCACCUGGUGCCUCACCCAGAAAGAAACCCCGUAAGCAGCAGCAUGUCAUCUCCACGGAGGAAGGGGACAUGAUGGAAACAAACAGCACUGAUGAUGAGAAAUCCACUGCCAAAAGUUUGCUGGUGAAGGCAGAGAAGCGAAAGUCCCCUCCAAAGGAGUAUAUAGAUGAGGAAGGUGUAAGAUACGUCCCUGUGCGUCCCAGGCCGCCGAUCACGCUGCUCCGUCAUUACCGCAACCCCUGGAAAGCUGCGUACCACCACUUCCAGAGAUACAGUGACGUCCGUGUCAAAGAAGAGAAGAAGGCCAUGCUGCAAGAGAUUGCCAAUCAGAAGGGUGUGUCCUGUCGUGCACAAGGGUGGAAGGUCCAUCUCUGUGCAGCGCAGCUACUACAGCUGAUGAUCAAAACUGGCAACUCCCUCCUGCUGAUGCACAGGUCUGAAGAAGCGUCUGUUUGGGAUGGUGCGGCUGAUCUGAGGAGGCAGCACUGAUCCACAUUCCUGGAUGCUUCUGUUUCAGGUUGGGGGUGAGACAAACCUGGAGCACGAUGUGUAUGAGAGACUGACUGCCCUGCAAGAGGGACUCAUUCCUAAGAAAAAGGCAGCGACCGAUGACGACUUGCAUCGAAUCAAUGAACUGAUACAGGGGAAUAUGCAGAGGUGUAAACUCGUGAUGGAUCAAAUCAAUGAGGCUCGAGACUCCAUGCUAAAGGUCUUGGAUCAUAAGGAUCGUGUUUUGAAGCUUCUAAACAAGAAUGGAACUGUCAAGAAAGUGUCCAAAUUGAAGCGAAAGGAGAAGGUUUGAACGCAGAUUAAUGACUUUGGAAAUGGAGAACAUGUGCAGAACGGAGCUGAACCUUUUUGUAGUUUGGGUUUAUUUUUAAGCAGAGCAUCGGAAUAAAAAAGGAUGAGUUUAGGGAGCGGAUGGACACAUGAAGCCUAGUGACCUGAAGGGAUUGUCCUUGAUCUUGUCAUAAUGAACAAAGAUUUCUCUCAGGCUCAUCCCUUUUUUAAGUCUUUCCAGUCUCACUGUGUCAGGUAUGGACCCAGCUGUAAGGCAGGAGGUUGUGCAGGGGACUCCAGGAGGCUGACAUAACAGCUAUGGACCCAGACAGCAGCCAAGCUUCCAGCAGUGGAAAUGGCACCUCUUUGUUACCCCAUUCAGUUCUCAUUCUGACCUUCCAGUGUCUAAAGCAGCCUUCUUACACCAGUGCCACCGCACUAGGGGAUCUGCCACCAAGAAUCUCCAGCAGUUCAGAAGUCCUAGCUGUCAAGAUUAAAAAAAAAAAAAAAAAAAGAAAAAAAAAAAGAAAAAUAAAAGGGGGGAGGGGGGAAAUAAUUUCAAAGUGAUACUGUAGUGUCUGUGUCUGUGUUGGUGCUCUGGGAUACUUGUGUCGAGGUACCUCUUGCAACAGAGGUGCUAUAGCUGGUGUAAUGUUAAUUGUACGUACCACAUACAUCCUAAAAACAUGAAUAAAGGAAUUGGAAGGUUUUGUA